AGAGUUUGAUCCUGGCUCAGGAUGAACGCUGGCGGCGUGCCUAACACAUGCAAGUCGAACGGAUCCAUAUUGAAACCUAGUGAUGUAUGGAUUAGUGGCGGACGGGUGAGUAACGCGUGGAUAACCUGCCGUAUACAGGGGGAUAACACUUAGAAAUAGGUGCUAAUACCGCAUAAGCGCACGGUUCCGCAUGGAACAGUGUGAAAAACUCCGGUGGUAUACGAUGGAUCCGCGUCUGAUUAGCCAGUUGGCGGGGUAACGGCCCACCAAAGCGACGAUCAGUAGCCGGCCUGAGAGGGUGAACGGCCACAUUGGGACUGAGACACGGCCCAAACUCCUACGGGAGGCAGCAGUGGGGAAUAUUGCACAAUGGGGGAAACCCUGAUGCAGCGACGCCGCGUGAGUGAAGAAGUAUCUCGGUACGUAAAGCUCUAUCAGCAGGGAAGAAAAUGACGGUACCUGAUUAAGAAGCCCCGGCUAACUACGUGCCAGCAGCCGCGGUAAUACGUAGGGGGCAAGCGUUAUCCGGAUUUACUGGGUGUAAAGGGAGCGUAGACGGCAGCGCAAGUCUGGAGUGAAAUGCCGGGGCCCAACCCCGGAACUGCUUUGGAAACUGUGCAGCUCGAGUGCAGGAGAGGUAAGCGGAAUUCCUAGUGUAGCGGUGAAAUGCGUAGAUAUUAGGAGGAACACCAGUGGCGAAGGCGGCUUACUGGACUGUAACUGACGUUGAGGCUCGAAAGCGUGGGGAGCAAACAGGAUUAGAUACCCUGGCAGUCCACGCCGUAAACGAUGAUUACUAGGGUGUCGGGGGGGCCAAGGCCCCUCCGGUGCCGCCGCAAAC
rnacentral:rRNA from 1 species